CGGACGGGUGAGUAACGCGUGGGUAACCGUGCCUCACACAGGGGGAUAGCAGUUGGAAACGGCUGAUAAUACCGCAUAAGCGCACAGUACCGCAUGGUACAGUGUGAAAAACUCCGGUGGUGUGAGAUGGACCCGCGUCUGAUUAGCUUGUUGGCAGGGUAACGGCCUACCAAGGCAACGAUCAGUAGCCGACCUGAGAGGGUGACCGGCCACAUUGGGACUGAGACACGGCCCAGACUCCUACGGGAGGCAGCAUG
rnacentral:rRNA from 1 species